rnacentral:rRNA from 1 species
AACGAACGCUGGCGGCAUGCCUAACACAUGCAAGUCGAACGAGACCUUCGGGUCCAGUGGCGCAUGGGUGCGUAACGCGUGGGAACCUGCCCUUAGGUUCGGAAUAACUCUCCGAAAGGGGUGCUAAUACCGGACAAUGUCUUCGGACCAAGGAUUUAUCGCCUUUGGAUGGGCCCGCGUUGGAUUAGCUAGUUGGUAGGGUAAAAGCCUACCAAGGCGACGAUCCAUAGCUGGUCUGAGAGAAUGAUCAGCCACACUGGGACUGAGACACGGCCCAGACUCCUACGGGAGGCAGCAGUGGGGAAUAUUGGACAGUGGGCGAAAGCCUGAUCCAGCAAGGCCGGGUGAGUGAUGAAGGCCUUAGGGUUGUAAAGCUCUUUUACCCGGGAUGAUAAUGACAGUACCGGGAGAAUAAGCUCCGGCUAACUCCGUG